GCAGCAAUACCGCGUGAGUGAAGAAGGUUUUCGGAUCGUAAAGCUCUGUUAUUGGGGAAGAAAAAAAGACGGUACCCAAGAAGAAAGUUCCGGCUAACUACGUGCCAGCAGCCGCGGUAAUACGUAGGGAACAAGCGUUGUCCGGAUUUACUGGGCGUAAAGGGCACGCAGGCGGUUUUUUAAGUCAGAUGUGAAAGGCCACAGCUCAACUGUGGACAUGCAUUUGAAACUGAAAGACUUGAGUAUUGGAGAGGCAAGUGGAAUUCCUAGUGUAGCGGUGAAAUGCGUAGAUAUUAGGAGGAACACCGGUGGCGAAGGCGGCUUGCUGGAC
rnacentral:rRNA from 1 species